rnacentral:rRNA from 1 species
CCUACGGGGGGCAGCAGUGGGGAAUAUUGCGCAAUGGGCGAGAGCCUGACGCAGCGACGCCGCGUGAAGGAUGAAUGUCUUCGGAUCGUAAACCUCUGUCAGCAGGGAAGAACGGUCACUGUGCUAAUCAGCAGUGAAUUGACGGUACCUGCAAAGGAAGCACCAGCUAACUCCGUGCCAGCAGCCGCGUUAGUACGGGGGAUGCGAGAGUUAAUCGGAAUUUCUGGGCGUAAAGCGGUCGUAGGAGGUAUGUCAAGUCAAUGGUGAAAUCCCCGCGCUCAACGUGGGAAGUGCAUUUGAAACGGGCAAACUGGAGUGUGUGAGAGGAUAGUGGAAUUCCAGGUGUAGGAGUGAAAUCCGUAGAUAUCUGGAGGAACACCAGUGGCGAAGGCGACUAUCUGGAACAUAACUGACGCUGAGGAGCGAAAGCGUGGGUAGCAAACAGGAUUAGAUACCCGUGUAGUC